rnacentral:rRNA from 1 species
AACGAACGCUGGCGGCAUGCCUAACACAUGCAAGUCGAACGAUACCUUCGGGUUUAGUGGCGCACGGGUGCGUAACGCGUGGGAACCUGCCCUUAGGUUCGGAAUAACUUCCCGAAAUGGUUUCUAAUACCGGCUAAUGUCUUCGGACCAAAUAUUUUUAGCAUUUUGAUGGGCCCGCGUUUGUUUAGCUUGUUUGUAGGGUAAAUUCCUAUCAAGGCGCCGAUCCAUAUCUGGUCAAAUAGGAUGAACGGCUACACUGGGAGUGAGACAAGGCCCAGAAUCCUACAGGAGGGAGAAGUGAAGAAUAUUGAACGAAGGGCGAAAGAAUGAGAGAACAAUGCCGCGUGAAUGAUGCAGGGCUUAGAGUUGUAAAGCUGUAUUACCCGGGAGGAUAAUGACAGUACCGGGAGAAUAAGCCCCGGCUAACACCGUG